rnacentral:rRNA from 1 species
UAAUACGGGGGGGGCAAGCGUUGUUCGGAAUUACUGGGCGUAAAGGGUGCGUAGGCGGUUCGCUAAGUUGGAUGUGAAAACUCUGGGCUCAACCCAGAGCCUGCAUCCAAAACUGGCGGGCUAGAGUUCUGGAGGGGGUAGCGGAAUUCCUGGUGUAGCGGUGAAAUGCGUAGAUAUCAGGAGGAACACCGGUGGCGAAGGCGGCUACCUGGACAGAAACUGACGCUGAGGCACGAAAGCUAGGGGAGCAAACA